rnacentral:sRNA from 1 species
UUUUAGCCCCGAUAGAAGCGGCAUACUUUUUUGCUUGCUAACUCUAUCUUAUUAUAAAUCUAAUGUCUGGCAAAAAAGAUAGAGCGGAAAGCGGGACGGGUU